CGCGUAGGUGGUUGAUCAAGUCUGGGGUGAAAUCUUUCGGCUUAACCGGAAAAGUGCCUUGGAUACUGAUCAGCUGGAGGGAGGUAGGGGCAGUUGGAACCUUCCAGUGGAGCGGUGAAAUGCGUUGAUAUUGGAAGGAACGCCGGUGGCGAAAGCGAGCUGCUGGACCUCUUCUGACACUGAGGCGCGAAAGCUAGGGGAGCAAAACG
rnacentral:rRNA from 1 species